AAAAUGAGGGACAAUAUACCAUUUGUUCUUCAAACACAGCAGAAGGUACAAAAAUGAUGAAGGCGAGAUAUCGUUUCAGUCGUCAUUCCUACAGGUUGACGGUUCGAUUGUUGCUCGUCCACAU